GAUGAACGCUGGCGGCGUGCCUAAUACAUGCAAGUCGAACGGAUAGCGAAAGGUGCUGGCACCUUCCCGGUUAGCGACGAAGGGGUGAGUACCACGGGGACCAGCUCCUUACAGGCUGGUGACAACAUUUGGCAACAGAUGAUAAUACAGAAUAAAACUUAGUGUAGGAUGACAGAAAGAAAAAUGGGGCUUCGGGGGAACCUCGAGCUGGUUACGGGUUGCUUUGGUUAGUUGGGGGGGAAAAGGCCUUUCAAGGGAAUGAUGCAUAGCCGAGUUGCGAGACGGGUCGGCCACAUUGGAACUGAGACACGGCCCAAGCGCCUACGGGAGGCGGCAGGAGGGAAUCUUCCACAAGGGGCGAAAGCCUGAUGGAGCAACGCCGCGUGUGUGAUGAAGGCGUUCGGGUCGUAAAGCACUGUUGUAUGGGAAGAACAGCUAGAAUAGGAAAUGAUUUUAGUUUGACGGUACCAGACCAGAAAGGGACGGCUAAAUACGUG
rnacentral:rRNA from 1 species